CGAGAUAGAGAUAGAGAGACAGAGAGAGAGAGAGACAGAGAGAGACAGAGAGAGACAGAGCGAGAGUAAGAGAGUUUUCUUCAAACAACAGUGAUGGAAACGUUGUUGUAUCUCACCCUGCUAAUCUCAGGACACCUUCCUCAUGUCUUCAUCAGUAUCACCUCAUUUCCAUCAAUAUGAUCUGGACUGAUGCCCAGAGUUACUGCAGAGCACAUUACACUGAUCUGGCUACAGUAGAUGACAUGGAGGACCUGAACAGGCUGAUGACCAGUGUCAGUAGUUCUAAUUACUGGUUCUGGAUCGGACUGA